rnacentral:rRNA from 1 species
GUGGGGAAUAUUGGACAAUGGGCGAAAGCCUGAUCCAGCCAUGCCGCGUGUGUGAAGAAGGUCUUCGGAUUGUAAAGCACUUUAAGUUGGGAGGAAGGGCAUUAACCUAAUACGUUAGUGUUUUGACGUUACCGACAGAAUAAGCACCGGCUAACUUCGUGCCAGCAGCCGCGGUAAUACGAAGGGUGCAAGCGUUAAUCGGAAUUACUGGGCGUAAAGCGCGCGUAGGUGGUUCGUUAAGUUGGAUGUGAAAGCCCCGGGCGCAACCUGGGAACUGCAUCCAAAACUGGCGAGCUAGAGUACGGUAGAGGGUGGUGGAAUUUCCUGUGUAGCGGUGAAAUGCGUAGAUAUAGGAAGGAACACCAGUGGCGAAGGCGACCACCUGGACUGAUACUGACACUGAGGUGCGAAAGCGUGGGGAGCAAACAGGAUUAGAAACCCCUGUAGUCC